UGUGGUCGUCUUGUGAGGGUGCGGAGCCCUCAGUUUCUUCUCCUUUCGAAGGAGCUGGUAAACAGGAAAGCUGUUGGAACAGAUAAGGUCUGUUUUGGCUUGAGCACUGACUGAUUACUGAUACUGAUUGUAUAGUUUACCAUCCAAACCCAGUGUCCAGAUUAAGAUAGGAAAUAACCAGCAGGUCCAAGUUAGGCUGCCAGCAGGUCAACAGCAAGUUGAAAAAUCUGAAGGUGUGUGGUCUGCCCACAUCUACCUCCGUGUGUGGUCUGCCCAGGUCUACCUCCGUGUGUGGUCUGCCCACAUCUACCUCAGUGUGUGGUCUGCACAGGUCUACCUCAGUGUGUGGUCUGCCCAGGUCUACCUCAGUGUGUGGUCUGCCCACAUCUACUCAGUGUGUGGUUGCACAGGUCUACCUCAGUGUGUGUCUGCCCAGGUCUACCUCAGGUGUGAUCUGCCCACAUCACCUCAGGUGUGGUCUGCCCACAUCUACCUCAGUGUGUGGUCUGCCCAGGUGUACGUCAGUGUGGUGGGCUGCCCAGGUCUACCUCAGUGUGUGGUCUGCCCAGGUAUACCUCAGUGUGUGAUCUGCCCACAUCUCCCCAAGUGUGUGGUCUGCUCACAUCUACUCAGUGUGUGGUCUGCCCAGGUCUCCUCAGUGUGUGUGGUCUGCCCAGAUCUACCUCAGUUGUGUGGUCUGCCCUCUAUGCCCAGGCCUUCCUCAGUGUGUGGUCCGCCCAGAUUACCUCAGUGUGUGUGGUCUGCCAGAUCUAUGCCCAGGUUUCUACCUCAGUGUGUGUGGUCUGCCCAGAUCUACCUCACUUGUGUGGGUCUGCCCAGAUCUCCUAGUGUGUGUGGUCUGCCCGAUCUACCUCAGUGUGUGGUCUG
rnacentral:lncRNA from 1 species